UUCUAAAGAGGAAUGGCCCUCAGUUCUUUCUGUCGGCCUCGUUGAUUACUAUGGCGGCAGCAACAUCAUCCAGGAAAAAAUCUUGAACUGUGUCGGCAAGAUUGGGGGAAGGGGUACAGGCUCAGAAACAAGAGACCUUGAAGUAGAGACUCAUUUGAUUCUCGAGAACAUAGCUGCAGAGGAAAAAAUCUUGAACUGUGUCGGCAAGAUUGGGGGAAGGGGUACAGGCUCAGAAACAAGAGACCUUGAAGUAGAGACUCAUUUGAUUCUCGAGAACAUAGCUGCAGAGGAAAAAAUCUUGAACUGUGUCGGCAAGAUUGGGGGAAGGGGUACAGGCUCAGAAACAAGAGACCUUGAAGUAGAGACUCAUUUGAUUCUCGAGAACAUAGCUGCAGAGCUCCAUGCUUUAUCAUGGAUGACUGUAAGCCCAGCAUACUUGGAGAGAAGAUCUGCUUUACCUUUUCAUUGUGACAUGGUAUUAAGGCUUCGA
rnacentral:lncRNA from 1 species